GUUGAUAAGGUUAAGUGAAUAAGGGCGCACGGUGGAUGCCUUGGCACUAGGAGCCGAUGAAGGACGGGACUAACACCGAUAUGCUUUGGGGAGCUGUACGUAAGCUAUGAUCCAGAGAUUUCCGAAUGGGGGAACCCAACAUCUUUAAUAGGAUGUUACGAUUGUGUGAAUACAUAGCACAUUCGAGGUAGACGCAGAGAACUGAAACAUCUAAGUACCUGCAGGAAGAGAAAGAAAAUUCGAUUCCCUGAGUAGCGGCGAGCGAAACGGGAAAAGCCCAAACCAGCAAGCUUGCUUGUUGGGGUUGUAGGACUCCAAUAUGGUAGUUCUUUCAGAUAGUCGAAUGACUUGGAAAAGUCAGUCAAAGAGGGUAAAAACCCCGUAGACGAAAUGUGGAAGACACCUAGGAGGAUCCUGAGUACGGCGGAACACGAGAAAUUCCGUCGGAAUCCGGGAGGACCAUCUCCCAAGGCUAAAUACUCCCUAGUGACCGAUAGUGAACCAGUACCGUGAGGGAAAGGUGAAAAGCACCCCGGAAGGGGAGUGAAAUAGAACCUGAAACCGUGUGCCUACAACAAGUCAAAGCCCGUUAAUGGGUGAUGGCGUGCCUUUUGUAGAAUGAACCGGCGAGUUACGAUUGCAUGCGAGGUUAAGUUGAAGAGACGGAGCCGCAGCGAAAGCGAGUCUGAAUAGGGCGUUUGAGUAUGUAGUCGUAGACCCGAAACCAUGUGAUCUACCCAUGUCCAGGUUGAAGGUGCGGUAAAACGCACUGGAGGACCGAACCCACGUACGUUGAAAAGUGCGGGGAUGAGGUGUGGGUAGCGGAGAAAUUCCAAACGAACUUGGAGAUAGCUGGUUCUCUCCGAAAUAGCUUUAGGGCUAGCCUCGGAAUUGAGAAUGAUGGAGGUAGAGCACUGUUUGGACUAGGGGCCCAUCUCGGGUUACCGAAUUCAGAUAAACUCCGAAUGCCAUUCAUUCAUAUCCGGGAGUCAGACUGUGAGUGAUAAGAUCCAUAGUCGAAAGGGAAACAGCCCAGACCACCAGCUAAGGUCCCAAAAUAUAUGUUAAGUGGAAAAGGAUGUGGGGUUGCACAGACAACUAGGAUGUUGGCUUAGAAGCAGCCACCAUUUAAAGAGUGCGUAAUAGCUCACUAGUCGAGUGACCCUGCGCCGAAAAUGUACCGGGGCUAAACAUAUUACCGAAGCUGUGGAGUACACCUUUAGGUGUAUUGGUAGGAGAGCGUUCUAAGGGCGUUGAAGGCAGAUCGUGAGGACUGCUGGAGCGCUUAGAAGUGAGAAUGCCGGUAUGAGUAGCGAAAGACAGGUGAGAAUCCUGUCCACCGAAUGACUAAGGUUUCCUGGGGAAGGCUCGUCCGCCCAGGGUUAGU
rnacentral:rRNA from 1 species